CACUAAAUCCAUUGUAUUACGUCUUCUUUGUUUCUUUUUUGUUAUUCUCCCUUUCUCUAUAUGGCAUCUUACCGGAUGUUUCCAAAUGAAAUUUGGUCGUUCAUUACGAAACUUCUUUAUUUGAUUACGUGGAUUCCAGUUUUAUUCACUUGAAACUCUGAUACAUGAUAUGAUCAAACAAAAAAAAAUUUAGCGACAUUUGUAUAUACAUAGAGAAGAUGGGUCAUUAGUCUUACUAGAUAAAUAUAUACAUAGGAGUGAUUUACAGAAUCAAGAUGCUACUGUGAAUUCUGCUGACCCAAAAGAGGCAAGAGUAUUAAAGAGAUUCACUUCGUCCGAUUCAAUCCCAUCGACAUAUAUUGAUGGUAAUGGAGACUGGCACCGAGUAAGCAAAGGGAGCUCCAGAACAGAUUCUCGAUCUUUGCAACACAAGGAAGAAAGACCACUGCAAUUGAUAAGUGCACUCUGCGUGGACUGAGGGUCCUUAGCUGUUGCAAGACGGACUGUACCAGAGAAAACCAAACAAAAAAGCUCUGGUGGUCCAUGGGAAUUCGUUGGUGGAUUGCCUUUGUUUGAUCUUCCGCGACAUGAUAGUGCAUACACCAUUAGAAGAGCUUCAGACCUCGGUGUCAACAUCAAUGCUCACUGGUUAUCAACUUGCUAUUGCCAAGCUCGGUAUGGGAUCAAACAUGUAUCCAUAGCACCAGCUUCUCUACUUGGAUAAGAAAUCCAUCCGUGGGAGUUUAGGCAACAACCAAGUGACGUUUUUCUAAUCUCUUGAUUCAAAACUCUGAUCCAUGACAUUCAGCAAGAAUACAGAGAAGUUGUAGAGAGGCGUGUGUUUACAGGUGUUGUGUUACUUCUUGACAAUGGUAGUUACUCUCAACUAGCAGAUGAAAAGGCAAGGACUUAAACCUCUGCCUUCCUCAGCUUAAAUCUAUUAAUUCUGUAUUAGUAUUUAGUCCAUGAUGACCCUUUCAUGUGUGUAGACGGUGGAUAGAUUGAUUGAAACUGGAGACAGUGAGCAUAUUUUUCAGAAAACAAUCAUGGAGCAAGUAAGAGGGCAGGUUGGUAUUUAGGUUUCGACAAUAGCAUGACUACCUGUGCAACAAAACAAUUAUUACGUGUGCUUGAAGUUAGGUUUUUCUGCUUCCGUGCGUGCAGGUAAUAAAUAUUGGAUACUGGCUGAGAUUCAGGAGCGGCAUGGCGCUUCAGAGGCUUAGAGAACAAACUCCUCUACAUUGUAGCUUAAAAUGCUGAAUCUGAAAGUGUCAAACAAGAUGCUGAAUUAGAAAAUGCAUUUGAAAUCGUCCAGGUGCUUGCUAAGAUUCAGAAGAGGUGGAAGAGUCUCAAAGCGGGUCGAAAGCUAACUCUGUCUACAUAUGUGUUCUUAGAAAACCUUGAACCGUUUGCAUGGAAUGAUAUUGUUUAAUGAACAUUAGUAUCGAAAGAUUUUAUUUGCGCAUCUAUGUAUUAGUCGUUCCCAGGAACUAACAUUUUAUAUCGAGCCAAUCGCUUGCCAAAGGUUUUGCUACCAACUUUACAGAAUUAGCCUUUUUUUUUUUUUGACAGACAAAAGUAGCCAUUCAAAUAGGACAUAAACAAGUGAUGAUUUUUUUUUCUGAAAGGAAUGGUCUAUGAGCAUCAUGAAAAGUCCAUGUUACGUUUAGGACAAACAAUUACGUUGUUGAAUACAAGUUUGAUCUGCAAAACUUCAAUUAAUUAUUUGUUUACCUGGUAACAGCCCACGUAGGGCAGCACUGCAACCACAUCAACUACUACUGUGGCGCUGAAACGAUGUAGUCUGACCCCAACCGGAAUAGUGAGCCAACCUUUUCGACCUUAAAAUUUACAAGUGAAGAAAUUGGGACCAUUUAGUUCUCUAUGUCAUUGAGCUCAAUAUAUAGCAAGCUUGAUGUAAACGUACUGUACUUUUCUUGCAGUAGAUGUAGAGGAGACUCACUUAUAUCGACUAGAGAGGAGACAAGGGUAGCCACAUUAGAGGACACACCAUCUCACUAACACCCCUAAAAGGUAAAGGUGUCCUUCCAUAUCUUUAGAUUUCUGGCUCCAAACCCCUUCAACUACGUGACUACCACUCUUUACAUUCACCAAUAAAGUCUCUUACAAUACUACCAAGAAAAAAGCUUGCUUUACCGUUUUCUUUUCGGACUCAAUCACUACGGUUCUCACAUAAUUGUAACUAUCAUUCUAUAGUAACACCUUUUCUUACACUAAUAAAGGCUUCAGACAAAAAAAAUGCAUGAAUAUCAUUAUUACCAGAAGUAACUACUUUUUUUAACAUAGAAGUAACUACUUCUACCAGGUCAAGAAAUCUGAAAUCCAUCAAUAGACCAAAGAGAACAAGAGAUGAGUGGGAAACAAAGAGUAGAGAAGUCUGAAGUUGCAGAUGGUGGAGAAAAGAAUGAUGAAAAGGAAAUAUUCAAGUGGACUUACUCAUAAGUAGAAAGUAGAAAUACGUCCCCUUUUGUGAUCUUCGUCUGACUCUAGAGGUCAAAGGUCCUAUCGAAGUAGCGGAAACUGACAAGGAUAAUGUGAGAUCUGAGUUGAGGUUGGUCUCAUCUUCUACAUGUCUCUGUGUUUAUGAUGUUCUCAUGUAUCUUACGCCAUUCUUACAUAUAUGUAAUACGUUUUUUUAAUUGAUUUUUUUUUAUUAAAUAAUAUUCUUAUUCUCCACUCUUUUAAAAAUAUAAAAGUCUUUAACCAAAAAUUUAAUUAACAGUUUAAAAUUUAAAUUCAAUAUAUUAAAAUUCAUCCAUUUUUAUAUUCUUUUGUAAGAUUACUUAAAACAUUAAUAAAAUGGAGUAUAUUGUUUUACUAGGAAAAUAUAUUUUCUUGCUACAUUAAUUCGACGGUAUGAUGUUAUUAGUUGAAUUUACUGCUAACAUACAAUUACUAUGACCACUAAUUUAUCGUUUUAGCCAAACAGAAAAAUCAUAUUUCUGAGUUAGUAGUGAAAUUUUGUUUUUUGAGUUUGCAGUGCAAUUUUUAUUAUAUUCUGUUUGAAACUAAAAAACUAAUAUAUAUUACAUAAUGCAUUCUGUAAUACUGCUUUUAUGAAGAGAAAAAACUGUAUUACAUAAUAUAUCAAUCCUAUUUUUCGAAAAUGGUCAACCAAUGUAAUUAAUUUUCUAAACAGUAGUUUAACAUUUUCAAGUUACUGAACAGUUUAAAUAAUAUAAUUUAUUUUCCGCAUAGUUGACAUACUGUUUUACUAUAAAAUUAUAUCCAUUACACGUAAAAUAUAUUUUAAAUUAUAUAUUUCAUUUAAAAUUUCAAUUUCAAUUAUUUAACCAAAUAAAACAUAAAUGUAACAAAUUAAAAUAUAUAAUCCGCGCGUAGCGCGGAAAAAGACUCUAGUAAAAAUAAUAAUAUCAAAAUAUAAACUAUAUUUACAUUUAAAGAUAAAAUAAUAUUAAAUUUUAAAAUUAUUAUAUUUGCGCAUGGCGAAAUGUUCUUAUAUUUAGUCAAUGCACAAUGUGAGAAAGACUUUUUUAACAUGUGAGAAACAUAAUUGUUAGAAAUCUUCAUUCAAUCAAUACGAUCAUGUAAAAAAAAGUGUAUUUACUUUAUAAAAUAAUCAUGUUUUUUAUGGAGGGAAAUGUCAUUUAUGAACAGAGUGAUAUUUUAAUGAAAAUACUUCUUAUAUUUUAUAGAAGGAAAAUUGUUAAUAAUAGCAUCUUUUGAGUUUUUGUCUUAAAAAUAGCACUAGAAAGAGAAAGUCACAAAAAUAACA